UAAAUUCCGGCGGGCCGGACCGGGCCGGGACCACCGGGCCAGCACCUGCAGCUCUCACCAUGGCCACAGACACCGAGCCCGGGCGGCGCCGCCGCUGCUGCUGCGCGCAGGACACGCCCGAUGUCCCCAAGGUCCUGGAUUCCCGCGGUGACAGUGACGGUCCCCGCCGGGGCUCCCUCUGUGACCGGCACUGCGCCGCGAUCAACAACGCGCAGGGCGACCUGGGCGACCUGGGCUGUCACCUGCACCGUCCCCGUGUCCCCGCAGGCACGGGCACCCCGCCGUGCUGCCAGCAGCACUCGGAGGAGGUGUGCGAGAGCUGCGUGCUGAGAACCACCCUGACGGCCGAGAACGCCGUGGAGGCCAACAAACUCUCCAACAACUACAAGUUUGGCUUCAAGAAAUGGAAGAGCCACGUGACGGCGCGGCCCUGGGAGGAUCGGUCCGAGAUUGUCAAGGAGCUCUACUCUGACCUCAACGUCAUCCGAGGCUCUGGAGGGUCCACGCUGACGUGUGGCAAUGUCCUCUACCUGCUGCUCUUCGGCUGGUGGCUCUCGCUGCUCUACGUCCUGGUGGCUGCUGUGAUGUUCCUCACUGUCAUGGGGGCUCCUUAUGGGCGGCUCUGCUGGGAUCUGGCCGGGUAUUUCCUUUGGCCCUUUGGCAAAGUGAUCCAGAAAGUGGAGGUCCCCAAAUCCCAGCAGGUGUGUGAAGGUGGCGUGGGGGAGAGCUCAGCCCUGCUCGGGGGUCCCGCGCCGCGCCGCUGGAGCCCACGGUGCUGGCUGGGCACUGGAUACUGGCACCAUGCCAGCACUGCAGCGUGGCUGUGCCUGGGUUACCCAGUGCUGCUGCUGGCCCACGGGCUGGUGUGUGUCACCGCGUGGCUCCUCAUCGUCCUGAUCCCCGCGGCCAAGCUGAGCGCCCGCGCCGCCUCCCGCGUGCUGCUGCUGCCCCCGCGGCGCGUGCUCAUCCGGCGCCUGAGGAUGACAGAGGUGCCUCUGGAGGGAGAGGUGAUUCUCUGCUGCUACCGCGCUGCCAACCCUUACUACUACAAAUACGCCGUGGACGGCAUCAACGUCUUUGCUGUCAACCUGCUGCCCCUGGUGCUGGUGACGCUGGUGCUGGGCUAUGUGGACAGCCCCAACCACCUGACGGGCUCUGCCGUCAAGUUCUCCUUGGCCCUGCUCUCCAUCAUGCCCCUCUCCUACUACAUCGGCAUGGCCAUCGCCAGCAUCUCAGCCCAGAGUAACUUUGCGGUGGGGGCGGUGGUGAACGCCACGUUCGGCUCCAUCACCGAGCUCACCUUCUACAUCACCGCGCUCAUCAAGGGCUCGCGCGAGGGCAACCGCUGCUACGCCGAGGUGGUCAAGUCGGCCUUGACGGGGACACUGGUGGGCUGUGUGCUGUUUGUGCCGGGUCUGUGCAUGGUGAUCGGGGGAAUCCGGCACCAGGAGCAGAGGUUCAACAGCCGCUCUGCCGGCGUCAGCUCGGCCCUGCUCUUCCUCUCUGUGGGAGGUGUCUUUGCCCCAACGCUCUUCUCCAAGGUGUACGGGAAGCUGGUGUGCGGCGAGUGCCACAACGUCACCCAGAACCCGCUGGGCCACUACCUGUGCCACAGCUGUCACUUUGACCUGGUGCUCUCUCUGCAGAUGGACAACAACGGCACCCUCUACUACAGCCACGUCCAACCCCUGGUGUACACAGUGUCCAUCCUGCUCCCUGCUGCCUACCUCAUCGGGCUCUUCUUCACCCUCAAAACCCACACCCACAUCUACGACAUCCACAUCAGCGACUGCCACAUGCCUGGCCACCACCACAGUGCCGUGGUGCACUGGUCUCGUUGGCGGGCCCUGCUCAUCCUCCUGCUCUCCACCCUGUGCAUGUCGGCCUGUGCUGACCUGGCCACGGAGCACAUCAGCCCCAUCCUCACCAACUCCACCAUCUCACAGUAUUUCAUCGGUGUCACCGUGCUGGCGAUGGUGCCCGAGCUGCCAGAGAUUGUCAAUGGAAUCCAGUUUGCCCUGCAGAACAAUCUCAGCUUGAGCAUCGAGAUUGGGAACUGCAUUGCAGUGCAGGUCUGCAUGCUCCAGAUCCCCAUCCUGGUGCUCUUCACCAUCUUCUACCCAACCAACUUCACCCUGGUCUUCAGCGACCUCCACGUCUACGCCAGCAUGUUCAGCGUGGUGCUCAUGAACUACAUCUUCAUGGAUGGCAAAUGUGACUAUUUCCAAGGCACGGUGCUGGUGAUGGUUUACUUCAUCCUGCUGGCCGUGUAUUUCUUCGCUCCCUCGCCCAGCGGCUGCUGAGGUUUGGAUUUUCUCCUCCCUCCAAGCCCUUUGUUGGGAUCAACACCCAUCAAGACCUUUUCCAGUGUCUCAGGGACUUGGCUGGGCUGGCUCCAGCCUGGAAGUGCUGUCUCCUGAAGCUCCUGCUGCUGGGCUCCCCUGGUGGGGCUUCAGGGAUGGGAAGGGUGGUGGCAAUGGAAUUGUUCCCAAAAUGAGGAGCCUCAAAGCCAAGAGCACGUCACAGAGCCCACACUCGAGGGGCUGGAAGGAAAACUGUCCUUAGUGGAGGGUCCUGAAGGGGAUUUUGGUGUCUGGAGGACAGAGCCCUCCCUGGGGAUGUGCUGCACUGGAAGGAGGUGCCUGAGAAAUCCCUCAUCCUCCCAGGCCUGGGAGAGGGGCCUGGGAACUGCACAUGGGAUGUUUGAUGGCACCAGCAAUGCACCCAAAGGAUUUUAGUGAGACUGACAUCCCUGUGGUUUCCAACAUUGUUCCUU